CUUUUAGUCUUCACAGUAAUCCUAUAUCAUGAUGACCCCCAUUUAUUGAUAUGGAAACUGAAGCUCAGGAAAGACAAAGCAAUUUUUACAAACUCACACUACAAGGAAGUAGCAGAGGCCAACAUUUAAAUCUGGCCCCAGAGUUGUGUUCUUCUCAUUAAACUGUGUCUCAGAUCUCUCAAAGGUAACGCAGCUGUUGAAGUGAGAUCCUACACUGGAACAUACAACACUUGGUCUAAUAUUAAAGUUCGUGCCAAGAGCUCUCUAAAUGUGAUUGAUGGAUUAAUUCUGCCUUUAUGAAAGAUGAACUUAUUUUCAAGAUAAUAGCUAAUUCUUGAAUGGGCAACCUAUUAUGUAUCAAUGAUUGUAAUGAUGGAGCAUUUUAGUCAUUUGUAGCUGGAAGAGCCUUAGAGAUUAUCUGGUUCAACCUAUUCAAGAGUUAGG
rnacentral:lncRNA from 1 species